CGCCCGCCCCAACCACCGCGACCUGACCUUGUCGCUCCUUCGCCGCCGGCCAGUGCCUCCAUCCGCCCCACGCCGCGCCACCAUCGCCUCCUAAACCACCUGUUGCCCGGCCAUCGGGGUCGCCGCCGUUGGAGCAGGGACGGCGCCGCCGCCGCCUUCCCGUCUGCUGGACGGCAGUGACGCCGCCACCGCCUGGAUUGCCUGCCGCCGAUGGCGCCGAGAAUCAGUCAGCCGCCGCAGUCACAGGGAUUGCCUGCCCUCGAGCGAGGUCACACUCGCAACCGCCGAUGGCGCCGAUUUUGACAAGGUCUCCUGCCAUAUAAGCGCGCAAGGGAUCUAAGGUGCGUCCCUUCAACACAACCGUCAUCUCCAACAAAUCAGAGAAGAAUACACGAUUUCUCUUCCCUCUUCUUAAUUCCCUUGUCGCUUUCGUCUUCCCCAAAGACAUGGCCGGCUUCUCCCAUCGAUGUGAGUACAUGAUUACAUAUAUGUGAUCUACUGUAUUGCCAUUGAACUAAUGUGUGUGCAACACAUGUUCUCUGGUGUUGAAUUUGGAGUUUGAUCCCAGGCUUUACUGCUAUGCAAUUUACUUAUUACUUUCCAUUAGAUUCCAUCUUUCUCACUACACGAUGGUCUAGAUUCAGAAAGCAACUACAAAAUAUAUCGUCAAAUCUCUCCCAUCCAAGACAAGCUAAUAAAAACAUAUACUUUUUAAGAGAAGCUGCUGAUCCAAAUCUUGAUUUUUCCCGAAAUAUAGAAUUUUGGCGAUACUAUUUAGAAUAGGUUAUUGCAUUACACCGUCUCCUGUCCGUGCUGACCAGAACAAUUAUAUAGGGAAUUUCAUAGAGAACGAGGUAGACGGGGUAAAAUAAAGUGUCCUCUGAUGACAAAUCAAUACUGCAAAGUGAAGUUUACUUUCAUUUGUAGCUGCGGAGAAGUUUUGCAAUUCUUUUGAGAACAAGAUUAAAACUUGUCUGGAUUAUGUAAUACACGUUAUUAUUAUCUUGCCCACAAUGACAUGCAUGUUUAGCCAAGUUUAUAUGGUUGACAUGCUUACGUAUUUUUUUUUUGUUCUUGCUUGUGAAAUUGUACAUUGCAACGAAAAAUUGUCCGAAGCAUCCUUGCCUAAACAACUUUGUUUUUUGGCCAGCAAUUUUUUUAUUCAGUUUCCUAUCUCACCAUGCUAUUUUUCUUGCAUUUUAGUCUACUUGCUUUUUUACUUUACCCAUACUUUCCCAUUGCAUUGCCGGUUGUCGACGACGUGGUCAGGAAUUCACAUGGCUCAAACACUGAUAUUGCUGGUGUAGUCAUGUACGUGGGCCCAGUUGACCAUGAUACAUAUUCCCCUCUAUGCAUGAGCGAAGUAGCAUUGAUCGACGCUGGCAUGCAAAUUAUCUUCCUACACAUUUUUGAAGAACUAGCUGAACGCCAUUGGAAUGAACUUCUUUCUGAAGCAAAUGUUGGCUUAAUCAUGGCAACCUCGAUGAAGGUUGAUCAACUAUCCAAAACUCUUCUUAGCACGGAGGCAACAACUUUAUGCAUACAUUACUCCUCAAGUUGCCACAAUGUUCACUUUCUUAAAG